rnacentral:rRNA from 1 species
UACGGAGGAUGCGAGCGUUAUCCGGAUUUAUUGGGUUUAAAGGGUGCGUAGGCGAAGUGCCAAGUCAGCGGUAAAAAUUCGGGGCUCAACCCCGUCGUGCCGUUGAAACUGGCGCCCUUGAGUGGGCGAGAAGUAUGCGGAAUGCGUGGUGUAGCGGUGAAAUGCAUAGAUAUCACGCAGAACCCCGAUUGCGAAGGCAGCAUACCGGCGCCCGACUGACGCUGAAGCACGAAAGCGUGGGUAUCGAACAGG